rnacentral:rRNA from 1 species
GAUCCUGGCUCAGAACGAACGCUGGCGGCAGGCUUAACACAUGCAAGUUGAACGGGAUUUGUAUGGUGCUUGCACCAUGUAAUGAGAGUAGCGCACUGGUGAGUAACACGUGGGAACAUACCUUGAAGUGGGGGGACAACAGUUGGAAACGACUGCUAAUACCGCAUAAUCCCUGAGGGGAAGAUUUAUCGCUUUAAGAUUCGGGCCCGGACGGGAAGAUUAAGGUUAGGUUGGGUAGGGGGUAAACGGCCCUAACCAAGCCGACG